rnacentral:rRNA from 1 species
UACAGAGGUCUCAAGCGUUGUUCGGAUUCAUUGGGCGUAAAGGGUGCGUAGGUGGUGCUGUAAGUCAGGUGUGAAAAUCUCGGGGCUCAACCCCCGAAACUGCACUUGAUACUGCAGUGCUCGAGGACUGGAGAGGAGAUUGGAAUUCAUGGUGCAGCAGUGAAAUGCGUAGAUAUCAUGAGGAAGACCAGUGGCGAAGGCGGAUCUCUGGACAGUUCCUGACACUGAGGCACGAAGGCCAGGGGAGCAAACGGG